GACGAACGCUGGCGGCGUGCCUAAUACAUGCAAGUCGAACGCAGUGGGGACGGGUGAGUAACACGUUGGUAACCUCCCAUCAGAGGGGAUAACACUUGGAAACAGGUGCUAAACCGAUACUGGUGGAUGGGCCCGCGGGGCAUUAGCUAGGUGGUGGGGAAACGGCUCACCAGGGCCACGAUGCAGAGCCGACCGGAGAGGGUGAUCGGCCACACUGGGACUGAGACACGGCCCAGACUCCUACGGGAGGCAGCAGUAGGGAAUCUUAGGCAAUGGACGAAAGUCUGACCGAGCAACGCCGCGUGAGUGAAGAAGUUUUUCGGAUCGUAAAACUCUGUUGUUAGAGAAGCGGUAUCUAACCAGAAAGCCACGGCUAACUACGUGCCAGCAGCCGCGGUAAUUC
rnacentral:rRNA from 1 species